CAACAAUAAAAGUAGAGUAAUUCACUCAGUUCUAAAACAAGACCAAAAUAAUGAGUUAGCAUUCUUGUCAAACUGUCAAGGAUAUGAAUCUAAAAGAAAGAAAACGUCAAUACACUCUUGUGUCACUCAAAAGAACUAAAAAAUCACUCAAAGAUGAUUUAGUAUUAAACUAGAAUGGCUAUUGUCAAAGACAAGAAGAUUAGAAACUCUUGAAACAAGACUAUGGACUAGAAAGACAUUGACAAGAGUGAAGAAGGCUUCACUCUUGCCUCUAUAUAUAUUCUUAAUUAAGAGCUAUGUGGCAAUAUUUUGUAAGAGAUCCAUAAUGUGUUGACCUUGUAAGACAUGUAUUUUAAUUUGCAAAGCAAGUUUUUUAUAUGUGCGCCACAUAGUU
rnacentral:lncRNA from 1 species